CAGCCGCCACGGUAAUACGAAGGGUGCAAGCGUUAAUCGGAAUUACUGGGCGUAAAGCGUGCGUAGGCGGUGAGUUAAGUCUGCUGUGAAAUCCCCGGGCUCAACCUGGGAAUGGCAGUGGAUACUGGCUCGCUAGAGUGUGUCAGAGGAUGGUGGAAUUCCCGGUGUAGCGGUGAAAUGCGUAGAGAACGGGAGGAACAUCAGUGGCGGAGGCGGCCAUCUGGGACAACACUGACGCUGAGGCACGAAAGCGUGGGGAGCAAACAGGAUUAGAUACCCCCGUAGUCCCUGUCUCUUAUAC
rnacentral:rRNA from 1 species